AGUGGGGAAUAUUGGACAAUGGGCGAAAGCCUGAUCCAGCCAUGCCGCGUGAGUGAUGAAGGCCCUAGGGUUGUAAAGCUCUUUCACCGGGGAAGAUAAUGACGGUACCCGGAGAAGAAGCCCCGGCUAACUUCGUGCCAGCAGCCGCGGUAAUACGAAGGGGGCUAGCGUUGUUCGGAAUUACUGGGCGUAAAGCGCACGUAGGCGGAUUGUUAAGUGAGGGGUGAAAUCCCAGGGCUCAACCCUGGAACUGCCUCUCAUACUGGCAAUCUCGAGUCCGGAAGAGGUGAGUGGAAUUCCGAGUGUAGAGGUGAAAUUCGUAGAUAUUCGGAGGAACACCAGUGGCGAAGGCGGCUCACUGGUCCGGUACUGACGCUGAGGUGCGAAAGCGUGGGGAGCAAA
rnacentral:rRNA from 1 species